CUCCUCUGUCCCUCUCAUUCUUCACUCACCCACUUCCUCCUCCUCGGCCCGCACGCGCCCAUUAAGCUGUCUACGUCACUACAGCCUGUAAUUGGAGGUGCAGCAGCCAGAGGGCAGCCAUCUUGGAUAUCUCAUCUUCACCUGAGAAGAUACAUUAUCCUUUCUGCAUUCCUUUAACUGAAGCAUUUCACUUGCCCUGGCAGACCCAAAUCCAGGGUCCGAUCCCAGACUGGACUUGAUGGCAGUUAUGUGGAGGGGCCCCCAUGGGGCAGGACGCGUGCAAAACCCCGCAUCUAUAAUGCCUGGAAAAAAUAAGGGUGGAAAACCCCUCAAAUUACAGCGGGGCAGCUUGCAGCCGAAGAGCAGCGUCUUUUUUCUUCUAACCAAAAUGAUACGAGCUUGUUGAGCUGCACAUCUGUUUCUGAAU